AAAAAUCUUUGUUUCUUCAUUAGGGUCCCCCGGGUGCAGCUGGCCUUGCGGGUAAUAUAGGACCCAUGGGUUUUCAAGGAAUUUCUGGAGAAAGAGGACCUGAUGGACAAUCAGGUUCUAUGGGCCCACCAGGGCCAUCAGGACCGCAGGGCAUGCCUGGAGCGCCAGGAGAAAAGGGUUUUACAGGAAAGCCUGGCAUGGAAGGAUUACAGGGCCCUGUUGGCAAGUAUGGUACAACAGGCAACGACGGCAUGCGUGGGCAUCCAGGUGCCAUCGGAGAGAGGGGAGAGACAGG